rnacentral:rRNA from 1 species
GACGAACGCUGGCGGCGUGCUUAACAAAUGCAAGUCGAACGGAGUGGCGAACGGGUGAGUAACACGUGGGUGACAUGCCCUGCACUUCGGGAUAAGCCUGGGGAACUGGGUCUAAUACCGGAUAGUGGGGGAGGGGCCCGCGGCCUAUCAGCUUGUUGGUGGUGUAAUGGCCGACCCAGGGGGCGAAGGGUAGCCGGCCUGAGAGGGUGGACGGCCCCAUUGGGACUGAGACACGGCCCAGACUCCUACGGGAGGCAGCGGUGGGGAAUAUUGCACAAUGGGCGGAAGCCUGAUGCAGCGACGCCGCGUGGUGGAUGCCGGCCUUCGGGUUGUAAACUCCUUUCACCAUCGACGCGGUAGAUGGAGAAGAAGCACCGGCUAACUACGUGCCAGCAGCCGCGGUAAUUC